ensembl:snRNA U1 U1 spliceosomal RNA
AUAUUUACCUGGCAGGAGAGAUACAUGAUCCCUAAGGUGGUUUUUCCAAGGGCAAGGCUUAUCCAUUGCACUCUGGAUGCAAUAUGGGAAACUCAGCUGCAUAAUGUGUGGUACUGGGGACAGGGAUGAGGGGAGGGGACAGAAAGACUAGAUCUCAG